UGUAAAAAUUGUUCGGUGUACGUCUAAGUUGUUAAAUGUUUUAAUGUUCAUGCAAAUAUGUGCAUAUGUUAAGUUUGCUUAAACUAUAAAAGCAGCUGAAAGUGACACAACGAUUCUUAAUUUGCUGAGUAUACUGGAACACACAAUUUAGUCA